UCGAUAGAGGCGCGGAACGCAUCAGUACUCCCACGACCAACCGGGACGGGCAUCCUACGUGGGAGGAAAGGGCAAUCCGCCGAAGCAUUGGAAGCCGCCCGGAUUUCGGUGCUGGGACGUCAGAGAAUAUCUGCCGUACUGUCACAUUGCGUGGAGCGCUAUCA
rnacentral:ncRNA from 1 species